CCACUCCUGACUUUAUCAGGAAUCAGAUCACCAUUCCGGGCGAGGUCUGGAGCAGCGGGGCCGUGUGCACGUGCGUAGUGGAAACAGAGAGCGGGCGCAAUAUGAGCAAAAGCGUGAGCAAGACCGAUGCAGAUUGCUUUCCUUCGGUCUGGCGGUAUGUCUUCAUCUCCGGUGUUCUCGUUGCGAUGUGGAUACACUUUGCUGUAGUUCACUGGAACUAUAACAAGCAAAGACGGCGUUUUCAAGAGGAAAGAUGAAGCAAUGGAAAUGCAUUUAACUAAACACGUCCUUUUCUUUAUUUGAAUACAGCCUUGCUUCUGUCAUAUUGAACUUCACUUCCAUUCUCAAAGUAUUACAAGAGUGCAUUAAAGGCAUUGAAGAUGCACCAGAUCAUACAUUCAAUUGAGAUCUUGA